AGUGAACGCUGGCGGUAGGCCUAACACAUGCAAGUCGAACGGCAGCACAGUAAGAGCUUGCUCUUACGGGUGGCGAGUGGCGGACGGGUGAGGAAUACAUCGGAAUCUACUUUUUCGUGGGGGAUAACGUAGGGAAACUUACGCUAAUACCGCAUACGACCUACGGGUGAAAGCAGGGGAUCUUCGGACCUUGCGCGAUUGAAUGAGCCGAUGUCGGAUUAGCUAGUUGGCGGGGUAAAGGCCCACCAAGGCGACGAUCCGUAGCUGGUCUGAGAGGAUGGACCGGCACCAUGGGACGGGGACACGGGCCAAACCCCCACGGGGGGCAGGAGUGGGGAAUAUUGGAGCAAGGGGGGAAGCCUGGACCAGGCAAACCGCGGGGGGAAAAAAGGCCUUAGGGUUGGAAAGCCCUUUUUGUGGGAAAAAAAAGCCGCAGGUUAAUACCCCGGGUUUCUGGCGGUAACCCAAAAAGAAGCACCGGCUAACUUUG
rnacentral:rRNA from 1 species